rnacentral:misc_RNA from 1 species
ACCGGCGUGCCACAUAGGUCUGCACUUCCGCCAAACUUGCAUCAUCCUUCACGUCAAGAAUAUAGGACCGGACAACCUCGCAUUUCGUGGCAUCCAGCUUCGGCGUGUGCCCCCCACCAUGCGGCUUGGGCGCGACACUGCCUGUGUCCCGCCGCUGACGCAAGAGUUUUUUGACCAAGGUGCGACUGACUCCAAACAGCGCAGCGACUUCCCUCUGACUGCCCACCUGUCGAUCCACCGCCUCCACAAU